CAUAAAUCUGAGAGUUACUCAGAUGCAGUUUCUUCGUGUUUUGAGGACAUUGAGUAAGAGAUGUGAAGCUGUGUGUCCCUAUGCCUGAGUGGUCUUAUGUAAGUGGAUGUUUAGAAUGAUGGAUGAUGCUGUGUCUGGAUCCUGAUUGAUCAGACGUGCAUGUGUCCUUUAAUAAAUGCAUUUGUAUGUGCAUGUGUGUGUGUGUGAGAGAGAGAGAGAGAGACAGAGAAACAGGCAGAUCUCUCAUGUGUGGGGCAUAGGGCGGGAUUGUCUGUUAUGUGGAUUCAGAAUGCAGUAUCAGUAUACAUCAGAAGCCUUAAAAUAUUCCUUUGACUCCAUGAUUCCAUUUUUAAAAGUCUACUCUGAGUAAAUAAUAAGUGAAUACUAGAAAACAUGAACAAAGAUUUAUAUACAAUCUUGACUGUUACAACUCUAUUUUAAAUGCUGAAGAAGAGGGCAAUGGCUAGACACAUUAUAUUGUCUAGACAAUGGUUAGACACAGAAAUAUUUAAUUACAACACAAUACCAGCAUUAAAUAUUCCUGAGGACUUAAACACAUGGGAAAUAUUAAUUAUUAGUGUUAAGUGAGAAAAACGGUAUACUACACUACAUUAUAUAAAGUACGAUUCCAGUUAAGAAAACUGUAUGCAUAGAAACAAAAAGGAAAAACAUUGAUAUUCUAAUAGUGGUUGUCUCUGGGUUGGAGGACUACAGUUAAUUUAUGCUUAUCUUCUCUUUUCUCAUAUUUAUAAUGAUUUUCCUAGGUUACUAUUAUGAGCACAUUACUUUUAUAAUGAAAGGGGAAAAAAACUAUUUGAAAAAGAGAACCUUAUUGUUAUUAUUGUUGUAAAGACCAGGUCUUGCUCUGUUGCCCAGAGUGAUCUUGAACUCCUGGCCUCAAACGAUCCUCUUGCCUCAGCCUCCCAAAGUCCUGGGAUCAUAGGUGAGAGCCACUGUGCCCGGCUCAAAGAGAGCUUUAAGGCUGACAUAUUGCCUUCACAAGUGUGGAAUGGGAGCCCUGGAAGUCAUACCUAAUUAAUGGUAAAAGGUGAAGGCUAGAAUUUUUGUUAUAGCUAGAGGAGGAUUUGAGAUUAUUAUAAAGCUUUCUUAUUUAACUCUAGUAUUGAGUAACUUGCUACAUUCUUGUAAAGCAUCGGUUUUAAUUAGGGUGUGUUGCUUACAUAGUUGUUUUUGCUAGGCUGUUUUCUGGAGAUUCUGUGCAAGAUUUGUUUCAGAGCAGUAUGUACCAUGUGUGAAGUUUCUUUACAAAUCUAUACAUUUUUGUUUCUUAAAGAAGACAUCUGGCUACCAGCCUAGCUCUCCUUCUGUUUAAUAUGUAGAAAUAAUAGACACAUUAUUUUAAAUACUAAGUACAAAAGCAAUACCAAAAGUCUUUAGGUUUCAGAGGCAGGUAAGGAGCCCACAGUAAUAAAUGGCUCCUUUUAUUUAAACCGUGAGGUGCACAGGGAGCUGGACUGAAUGUAGCCCCUAGGGGCUGGAGUUUCAACACAAAGGCAAGGGUCAAAAGAGAGGAUAUAGGGCUUGCACAGAAUGAGCAGAAGUGGAUUUCCCUAAAGGAACCAGGAGGCAGGAAUGUGUUAUCUUUUGUGAAAAGGCAUCUGAACAUCCUGCCCACCAGCACUGAGUUAUGACCAAAAUAUUGCUGUCUGCCCUGAGACAUGGAUGGAAAAAGUCAUUUGAAAAUUGGAACCCUGAGUCCUCACUAGUGCAGUGUGGAAAUCCCCAGUUGAAGGAUAGAUUAAAAACCAGAUCUGGUCAGGCACAGUGGUUCAUGCUUGUAAUCCCAGCACAUUGGGAGGUCGAGGCAAGUGGAUAGCUUGAGCCCAGGAGUUCGAGACCAGCCUGGGCAACAUGGCAAAAUACUGUCUCUACUAAAAAUACAAAAAUUAGGCAGGCGUGGUAGUGUGUGCUUGUAGUCCCAGCUACACGAGAGGCUGAGAUGAGAGGAUUGAUUGAAUCUAGAAGGUCAAGGCUGAAAUGAGCCAUGGUCAUGUCAGUGUACUCCAUCCUGGGUAACAAGGCAAGACCUUGUUUCAGAAAUUCUCUAGGAACCAUAUAGAGGCAACUCAGAUACUUUCUGCCUCUCUCAUGGCUUCUACAAUCUAAAUCAGUCAAGUAAAAAGCUUCUGCAGAUCAACAUUUCCAUGGAAGAUGAAUUUACAGGCAAAACAUACAGAGUAAGAAACUCCACAUAUGUCCAGUAGGAGUCUCAAGAGUGAGAUUAUCAAGAGAAUGGCAAAAGAACUGUUCAAAGGUGAAAUAACUGAGAAUUUUCAAGAAACGAAAAAUCCAAGGUAUUUAAAAGGCCUGCGGGUGCGGAAUAGGAUUUGAAAAUCCACACAGCAUAUCACAAUGAGGGUGAGAUGGCAGAGAAUUAAGGAUGAAGAGAAAAUCCUGAAAGUCACCGGAGAGAAAAAUCAAAUUACCAACAAAGAACAACAGAGACUUAGGGGGAUUUUUACUGGCAAUUAUAUUAUUGAAACAUUGGAAAUAUAUAUAUAUAUAUAAUUGCAUUUUAGGUUUGGGGAUACAUGUGAAGAACAUGCAGGAUUGUUGCACAGGUACAUACAUGGUAAUGUGGUUUGCUGCCUUCCUCCCCAUCACCUAUAUCUAGUAUUUCUCCCCAUAUUAUCCUUCCCCAACUCCCCACCCGCCGCUGUCCCUCCCUUAGUUCCCCUCCACAGACCUCAGCAAGUGAUGCUCCCCUCCCCGUGUCCAUGUGCUCUCAUUGUUCAACACUUGCCUAUGAGUGAGAACAUGCAGUGCUUGAUUUUCUGUUCUUGUGUCAGUUUGCUGAGAAUGAUGGUUUCCAGGUUCAUCCAUGUCUCUGCAACGGACACGAACUCGUUGUUUUUUAUGGCUGCAUAGUAUUCCACGGUGUAUAUGUGCCACAUUUUCCCUGUCCAGUCUAUCACUGAUGGACAUUUGGGUUGGUUCCAAGUCUUUGCUAUUGUAAACAGUGCUGCACUAAACAUUCGUGUCCAUGUGUCCUUAUAAGAGAACGAUUUAUAAUCAUUUGGAUAUAUACACAGUAAUGGGAUUGCUGGGUCAAAUGGAAUUUCUAUUUCUAGGUCCUUGAGGAAUUGCCACACUGUCUUCCACAAGAAUUAAACUAAUUUACACUCCCACCAGCAGUGUAAAAGUGUUCCUAUUUCUCCACAUCCUCUCCAGCAUCUGUUGUCCCCACAUUUUUUAAUGAUCGCUAUUCUAACUGGUGUGAGAUGAUAUCUCAAUGUAGUUUUGAUUUGCAUUUCUCUAAUGACCAGAGAUGAUGAGCACUUUUUAAUAUGUUUGUUGGCCUCAUAUAUGUCUUCUUUUGAAAAGUGUCUGUUUAUAUCCUUUGCCCACUUUUGAAUGGGCUUGAUUUUUUCUUGUAAAUCUGUUUUAGUUCUUUGUAGAUUCUGGAUAUUAGCCCUUUGUCAGAUGGGUAGAUUGCAAAAAUUUUUUCCCAUUCUGUUGGUUGCUGGUUCACUCUAACGAUUGUUUCUUUUGCUGUUCAGAAGCUCUGGAGUUUAAUUAGAUCCCAUUUGUUUAUUUUGGCUUUUGUUGCCAAUGCUUUUGGUAUUUUCAUCAUGAAGUACUUGCGUAUGCCUAUGUCCUGAAUGGUUUUGCCUAGAUUUUCUUCUAGGAUUUUUAUGGUGUUGGGUCUUAUGUUUAAGUCUUUAAUCCAUCUGGAGUUAAUUUUAGUGUAAGGUGUCAGGAAGGGGUCCAGUUUCUGCUUUCUGCAUGUUGCUAGCCAGUUUUCCCAUCACCAUUUAUUAAACAGGGAAUCCUUUCCCCAUUGCUUGUUUUUGUCAGGUUUGUCAAAGAUCAGAUGGUUGUAGGUGUGUGGCAUUGCCUCUGAGGCCUCUGUUCUGUUCCUUUGGUUUCUAUCUCUGUUUUGGUACCAGUACCAUGCUGUUUUGAUUACUGUAGCCUUGUAAUAUAGUUUGAGGUCAGAUAGUGUGAAGCCUCCAGCUUUGUUCUUUUUGCUUAGAAUUGACUUGGCUAUGCAGCCUCUCUUUUGGUUCCAUAUGAAGUUUAAGGUGUUUUUUUCCAGUUCUGUGAAGAAGGUCAUUGGUAGCUUGAUGGGUAUAGCAUCGAAUCUGUAAAUUACUGUGGGCAGUAUGGCCAUUUUCAUGAUAUUGAUUCUUCCUAAUCACGAGCAUGGAAUGUUUCUCCAUCUGUUUGUGUCCUCUCUUAUUUCCUUGAGCAGUGGUUUGUAGUUCUCCUUGAAGAGGUCCCUUACGUUCCUUGUAAGUUGUAUUCCUAGGUAUUUUAUUCUCUUUCUAGCAAUUGUGAAUGGCAGUUCAUUCUUGAUUUGGCUCUUUUUAAGUCUGUUAUUGGUGUAUAGGAAUGCUUGUGAUUUUUGCACAUUGAUUUUGUAUCCUGAGACUUUUCUGAAGUUGCCUAUCAGUUUCAGGAGAUUUUGGGCUGAGAUACAAUCAUGUUGUCUGUAAAUAGAGAAAAUUUGACUUCCUCCUUUCCUAAUUGAAUACCCUUAAUUUCUUUUUCUUGCCUGAUUGGUCUGCUAGAACUUCCAAUACUAUAUUGAAUAGGAUAUUUUUAAAGUUAGGGAAAAUAAUGCUGAAACCAACUUUCAUACCUAAAGAGAUUUAAAACAAAGGGCACAAGGGUUGUAGUCAGACAUGACUCAAAUUCUGAUUUUGUCAUUCAGUAGUUAUUUAAUCUCUUCUUGCCUUUAUUUGCUGAUUUGUGGAGUGUGGUAAGAACACCAUCUUAAGUGUUGUAUAUGGAUUUCAUAAGAUGAUAUAUUUCAAAUGUUAGGUAACUGGACUGGGAACUCUUUCAAUGUAUUUUUUUUGUUUGAGAUGGCGUCUCACUCUGUCACCCAGGCUGGAGUCGUGCAGUGGCACAAUCUUGGCUUACUGCAACCUCUGCCUCCCAGGUUCAAGCAAUUCUCCUGCCUCAACCUCCUGAAUUGCUGGGACUACAGGCAUGCACCACCAUGCCUGGCUAAUUUUUUUUUGUAUUUUUAGUAGAGACAGGGUUUUACCAUGUUGGUCAGGCUUCGUCUCAAACUUCUGACGUCAGAUGAUCCAACCUCCUCGGCCUCCUCAAGUGCUGAAAUUGCAGGCAUGAGCCACCAGGCCCCACCUAAAGGUACUUUUAAAAAGCCUAUUUGCGGCCUGGUGCAGUGGCUCAUGCCUGUAAUCCCAGAACUUUGGGAGAUGGAGGCGGGUGGAUCAUGAGGUCAGGAGUUCGAGACCAGUCUAGCCAACAUAGUGAAACCCAGUCAGGGCCAAUAAUAGCAUGCACCUCAUAAAACAGAUGUUAGAAUUAAAUGAGUUUCAUGUAUGUAAAGUGCUUAGAAUAGUGUGUGGCACAUGGUAAGUGCCAUUUAAAUACUUGACAUUUUCUUGGUAGUUUUAUACUGUGUCAACUUAGCUAGGCUGAAUGAAGGUGGGUCCCAGAGUUCCCUUCCCUACAUGAUCCCAGGUUUGUAUUGGCCACAAGGGACAUAUUACCCAGGAUUUGGAUGGUAGAGUUGGGGCAUCAGGUGUGCUUUCCUUUUCUUUCUGAAGAUGGGUACAAGGGACCAGGGCUGUGACCGCUUGUACAAGUUGUCUCUGUCCUGUGAGCUCUCUUUGUUUGUGCUGGGCAUACCUGCAGCCCCUUCAGCUCCUGCUGGAUCUCCAGGUGUGAGGGCAGCUCUAUGUUGACCUCCUGCAAGUCACCCACGACAUCAGGUAGGACAGAGUUAGAGGCAGAUGUGGGUUCCUCCCAAUACUGUCUUCUCAGAACGGCUUUUUUUUGUCCUAUAUAAUAUUGCACUCUCGCUUUCUGUUUUUUUACCCCACUUAAUUUUUCUCCAUAGUACUCAUUACUUCCAGACAUUGGAUUUAUUAUUUUUUUUUUGUAUUGAGAGUAGAAACUUUAUGUUGCUUGUUCAAGGAUAUCUGUCUCUGGCCAUUAUGUUGUUUGGUACAUGGUAGUUGCCCAAUACAUAUUCCUUAAAUGAAUGGGCGAAAUGAAAUUAUAGGUCAUGGAGUUGUUCCAUGGGUGUUGAGGCAGAGUAAAGGCACUGGAGAGCUCACGUGACAUUUCCACGUGAACAUGGCAGCCUGAUGGAUUACCCACCUCCCCUGCUGGUCUUUGAACUAUAUUGGGGAACCAAGAACUUUGCCAGCCUAGUGCUAACCUAGUUAAUGGAAACCCAGGAGAGGUAGAUAGAGACCCAUAGUGCUAUACACAGCAAAUAGAGACUUUUCUUUUGUCUUCAGCUUGUAUUAGAAUUUGACUUCUGAAAAAAUAUUUAUUGCAUCAGGUUAAUACGUAAUCUACUUCAUGCUUGGUUCUGAGGUGGGCAUAAGGAAACUGUUCAUUAAAUACAUCUUUAAUAGCACUGUACUAUGGGUAAAGCAUUGUACUACGUGCUGGGAUGUAUAGCAACGUACACAACAGAUCAAAACCCUCAAUCUCAUGGAACUUACACUCUAGAGGGGAGGUCAGAUAGUAAGGUAAAUACAUCAAAUUUAUUUUGUAUGAAUGAAGUAUGUCAGUGUUAAGUGCUUAGGAGACAAAGAAGGGAGAGAAGGAGAAGUCUUGUUUCAUUUUGCUUUUUAACAGUUUUAAAUAAGGUCAGGCCAAGGUCAUGUUUUAUUAAAUAAUGAAGGAGAUGAAGGAGCAAGCCAUAGAGAUACUUGGAGAAAGAACAGUUCAAGCAGAGAAAACAGCAAAUGCACUGACCCUGAGGCAGGAAUGGGCUGGGCGUGUUGAAGACCCGAUGUAGGUGGUAGCAACUCCCUACCAGUUCUAGUCCUGUGGGGCUUCACUGUCCUUGUCAAGUACCCAGAACUCUGCCUAAGCCUUUGUAACUACUCCCACCAAUAAACCCUUCUCAAUUACCCUUUUUGAAGGUGCCACCUAUUUCCUGCAGGGACCUGAUGGAUGUGAGUGAGCUCCAUCCUGCUUGGGAGUGUCAUAUAGUUUGUAUAAAGAAAUGCUGAAGAAGCUCAGAGCAGGAGAAAAUCAUUGCAAGAGGAAACGUGAAUCUUUGUUUUGACCUUGAAGAAAAUAGAAAUGAACCAAGUUAGUUCUAUGAUUGGGCCUCUGAUUAAUGGUAAUUCUUCCACCUAUGGCUUUAGCCAGAAUUUUUUUUUUUUUUUUUGAGACAGAGUCUCUCUUUGUCACUCAGACUGGAGUACAGUGGUGUGAUCUCACUGCAGCCUUCGCCUCCUGGGUUCAAGUGAUUCUCCUGCCUCAGCCUCCUGAAUAGCUGGGAUUAUAGACAUGUGCCAUGACUUCCAGUUAAUUUUUUUUGUGUAUAUAUGGAUAUGUGUAUGUGUGUGUGUAUGUAUAUAUAUAUAUAUAUAUAUUUUUUUUUUUUUUUAGUAGAGAUGGGGGUUUACCAUGUUGGCCAGGCUGUUUUCAAACUCCUAACCUCAGGUGAUCUGCCCACUUUGACCUCUCAAAGUGCUGGGAUUACAGGUGUGAGCCACUGUGCCAGGCCAGGCUGAAAAUUUCUCCAGGUGUUAUCAUGGAUUCUUCCUUCUUUCUCCCUCACCACCACAACAUCUAAUUAACCACUAAAUCAAAUUGGAGUGUACAAAUUGGACUAUAUUGCUGCUACCCUUAAAACUAUUCCCUAGCUCUCCCUGGUCUACAGGAGAGAGUUCCACACUCCUCGACAGGCAUUUCCGGCCUCAUCACCCACCAUCCUUCCUUUUGUGUGUUACGUCCAAGUGAUACGGAGUAGUUCAGAGCGCCCGUAUGGUCACGUUUCCAGGUGUUUGUGUAAGUUUCACCAGAUAGCAACAGUGCCGCUCCUCUGCUUUUGUUAGUUAACUCCUCCCUAUCCCUUCUGACCUAGCUCAAGUGUCACUUCCUUAGGAAGCCCAGCUUUCCACAAGUGUUGGCUGAGCCAAUCUUUGCAGGCUGUGAGCUACGUGUUUUAUGUAUAAAACAUACAAAGUCCUUGUCCUCAUGGAGCUUAUGUCUAGUAGUAGGUGCUAAUGUUAAAUGUUUGGAAGGACAGACACUAGAUAUGAAAGCACCCAAACAAAUAUAUAGCAAAAAUCGUGGGAGGUGCCUUGAAGGAAAAAACCAGAGAACAACAAAAAUAGCUAAAGGGUAGGGAUAGGGGAUGGGGGUGGGAAAGGGGCAUACUGUAAGGAGAAGGCUGACGAGGUGACAAAUAGAUACCCGAGGAGUGAGAAUAGCUAGUCAGGUAAAUAGGUGAUGCGAUGGGGAGUCGCAGAGAGGAUUGUGGUGGGAGAGUGUUUUGGACAGAGGGAACUAAGGGACUGAGCACACAGGAAGGGUCUGAGCAGGGAAGAAUCACUGGUGCACUGUAGGACCAGAAUGCAGGUUAGUGGAGCUGAAAUUGUUGGGCUGUGGACAGAGUGAUAGGAGGUGGAGCUGCAGAGGACGGAAGGCUAGCUCCUGUGUGACAGCAUAUGCCAUGAUACAAAGUUUGGAUUUUAUUUGAAUGCAGAGAAGUCCCUGAGGCUUUCUGAGCAGAGGAAUAAGUUGAUUUCCUUCAUGUUUUAAAAAGACCACUCUGACUACAAAUUGGAGAAUGUCUUGGAGGGAGGCCAAGGGUAAAAAGAAAUGAUGGUGCCUCAGUCUGCCUUAGGAGUUCCCCGACAUGUUCCUGAAGCACCUGAUGCUUAUUUAAGCAUAGCACUUUUAAUCAUGGUUGCAAUUUUCUCUUUACUUGUCUAUUGCUUCCACCAGUCUGAGAGUUCCUUGAGGGUGGGGAUUGUUCUUUCUCUCUCUCCUUCCCUCCUUUCCUGAUUUCCUUCCUUCCUUUCUUCUUUCUCUCCUCUCUCUCUCUCUCUCUCUUUCUUUCUUUCUUUCUUUCUCACAUUCUGCUGCCCAGCCCACAGUGCAGUGGUGUGAUCUUGGCUCACUGAAACCUUUGCCUCCCAGGUUUAAGCAAUUCUCCUGCCUUAGCCUCCCAUGUAGAUGGGAUUACAGGCUCAGUCUCAGAGCCCCGUUUGAAUCCUCCCUCUAAAGCUAGGAGCUGGCAAGCUCUCAACUCUCAAAAGGAUGUACACCACACUUGGCUAAUUUUUGUAUUUUUAGUGGAGUUGGGGUUUCAUCAUGUUGACCAGGAUGGUCUCGAACUCCUGACCUCAAGUGAUCCACCCACCUUGGCCUCCCAAAGUGGGGAUUGUGUCUUUUAUCUUCAUUUCAUAUAAUAGGUGUUUAGUAAGUAUACUUUUCGUUGUUGUUGAGACAGUCUCGCUCUGUCACCAGGCUGGAGUGCAGCGGGGUAAUCUCAGCUCACUGCAACCUCAGACUCCCCGGUUCAAGUUAUUCUCUUGCCUAAGUCUCCUGAGUAGCUGGGAUUACAGGCAUGCACCACCAUGCCCAGCUAGUUUUUAUAUUUUUAGUAAAGAUGGGGUUUCAUCAUGUUGGCCUGAAUGGUCUUGAUCUCCUGACCUUGUGAUCCACCCACCUCGGCAUCCCAAAGUGCUGGGAUUACAAGUGUGAGCCAUCGUGCUGGGCCAAAUGUACUUUUUAAAGAAUAAAAAACGGGCCUUGAAGUAAAUAUCAGAUCCAACUUUUUUUUCUCUAAUUCUCUAGAUAUCUCAUCUGGCAAAUAAAAAGUUCGCAUUAAGUAGACUAUAAAACCUUUGUUUUUGAAACAGAAUCUUGUUCUGUCUCCCAGACUAGAGUGUAGUGGUGUGAUCUCAGCUUACUGCAAUCUCUGCCUCCCAGGUUCAAGUGAUUCUCGUGCCUCAGCUUCCUGAGUAGCUGGGAUUAUAGGUGCUGGCCACCAUGCCUGGCUAAUUUUUUUUUUUUUUUGUAUUUUUAGUAGACAUGGGGUUUCACCAUGUUGGUCAGGCUGGUCUCAAACUCCUGACCUCAGGUAAUCCACCUGCCUUGGCUUCUCAAAGUGCUGAGAUUACAGGCGUGAGCCACCAUGCCCGGCCUAGACUAUAAAAUUCUGUAAGCCAUGUUUGUUGAAGUAGAAAGAACAUUUUAGAGGUCUAAGUAGACCUCUUUCUUGCUGGAGGUGUGUGGACGGUAGACAAAGGGAGAAUUGCUUGACUGGAGUUAGUUGGUUCAAUUGCAAUUUUUAUUUAUUUAUUAAAAAAAAAUUGUGGCCGGGCGCAGUGGCUCACGCCUGUAAUCCCAGCACUUUGGGAGGCUAAGGCAGGUGGAUCACGAGGUCAAGAGAUUGAGACCAUCCUGGCCAAAAUGGUGAAACCCGUCUUUACUUAAAAAAUACAAAAAUUAACUGGGCGUGGUGGCACGCGCCUGUAGUCCCAGCUAAUCGAGAGGCUGAAGCAGGAGAAUUGCUUGAACCCGGGAGGUGGAGGCUGCAGUGAGCUGAGAUCACGCCACUGCACUCCAGCCUGGCACCUGGCAACAGUGAGACUGUCUCAAAAAAAAAAAAUUUGUUUGAGAUAGGGUCUCAUUCUUUCACCCAGGCUGGAGUAUGGAAGUGCGACGUGAUCAUGGCUCACUGGAGCCUCGACUUUCCUGGAUCCUCCCACUUCAGCCUCCCAAGUAGCUGGGACUAUAGGUGUGCGCCACCAUGCCUGGCUAAUUUUUAAAUUUUUAAUUUGUAAAGUUGGGGUUUUUGCCAUGUUUCCCACACUGGUCUUAAGCUUUGGAGACCAAGUGAUCCUCCCAUCUUGGCCUCCCAAAGUGUUGAGGUUACAGGCAUGAACCACCAUGCCUGGUCCACAAUUUUUCAUUAGUGGAGUUUUUUUUUUUUUCCUAAGUCAUGAAAAAAAGUUCUAUAUUUAGAGAGAAGUUAGCUAAACCUGCCACAUUCAUCAAUAUAAAAACAAAGCAAAUACCUUUUGGGCAGCACCGUUCUUAGAGCCCCAUUUGAAUCCUACCCCUAAAGCUAGGAGCUGGCAAGCUCUAAACUCUCAAAAGGAUAUACAAUGAGAAUUUAGACACCAGGCACCCAUUUCUGCACAGUACCACAAUAAGAUACAAAAUACAACACAUUGAGUGAAUGAAUUAAAGAUACAUAUGAUAAAAUAGAUUUGGUGUUUUAUAAAAUCAUUUUGGAGGCAGGAAAACUCAUUAGAUUGUGAAGAUGAAUCAGAGUCAGAACAGGUGCCACCGGCAGAGCAUCACUCACGGCACAGUAAUUCCACCACUGUUGUGGGGCUCUGUGGGGAGGGUGGAUUGAUGAUGAUCCCUUCUUUAUUGAGAUUUUGAGCUCACAUCUCAUUUACGUUUACGCCUGCCAGAUGGCAGAGCCUUUAUUUGUCACUGUAUUUCUUAGACAUUUCUUGAUCUCUGCAGCUUGAGUGCAUGGAUGCUGAAGUGGUACCGUAAGCAUGCACAGGAAAUGCAUCGCUAAACACUGAUAGAAAAAAGACAGUGCUGAGGGCGGGAGCUUAUUCUGCAGGAUAACAGGGAUGAAGCUAAGAAAAGUUCAAUAUCAGAAAUGGUAUGCUGGCCAUUCAGCUUUAAGAAUAACUUCCCAAGGGCAGCUGUGAAAAUCCCACUACGUGAGGCAUGUGAGAACAGAUUGAAUGAUGUACUGGAGAUUAUCCUGUAGGGGGGUCCAGUGUACUCUGAUCCAGGGAGUGAACUAAAAUAGCCACAAAAACCACAAAAUGGUCUUGUGGUUUUGAUUCUGGGAGUCCAGUCAGGUCUUGCUUUAUUGAAUCCUUUGCUACAGCCACUGUGAAUUUCCCCAAGCUGAACUGAAGAAUUGUACUUUAGAUUAUGGGCCUUGGUGGGCCUGCAGGCCGGUGGCCUGGCCAGCUAAGGGGCUAAUCAGGUAUAGAAUCUGUCUUACAGAAUUCCACAGGUUUAUGGUGCAGUCUGCCCCCUCCUCUUCCCUCCCCCUCCUCCUUUUCUCUCUCCCAUCCUCAGGAAGAGAAUGAGUCACCUUGGUCUUCCCAUUGCAGUGCCUACUCUCUGCUGCUCCCUGCGCUGUGGUUUGGCAUUUGAAGGAGAAUAUGGCAUUAAGACCAUCAGGCAACACGAGACAUGGAAAUACUGAGGGCUGCCGACCGUUGCACAAGUGGACAGGCCCCGAGAAGCCUGUUGAGUUGCUAUGGAAAGCCCCUCCCUGCUCCUGCUCUGGGAUGCCCAGGGAUGUACUGGGGGUUCUGGGUCUUCUCUGUUUUAUCGCUAUUGUUAAGGAUUGAUGCUGUAGCGGGGAGGGAGGUUUCAAUUCCCUAAGGACAGACCAAACCUGUCUUUCAAGUUCACUGGAGACUCCAGAGUGAGCUGUUAAAGGCCUGUGCGCAUUCUUCUUUCUUGUCCUAAUUAAUGGCAAUUGGGCUAAAAAUAUACUUGGGGACAGUCUCUGAAGCUGCAGCUGGGACAAGUUGUUGAUGUAGUUACAGAACUGGGUCUGAGACAAGCACAGAGGCCUGGGCAAGUCGAGAGGCUGAGGGGAACUUGUAAGUGAAUUCUUGGGGAGUUUUCUCCUCAUUACGUCAGUGUAUUUCACACUUUCUCAGGUGAUUGGGAUGUGCUGUAAGUUUCCCACUAGUGGACUCUGGCCAUUUAUGGUUAUCACAUUUAAAGUUUCAGCCACUUGAACUGAAAGUCUGUUCUAGAAGGUAAAACGCAUGACUUCGCCAAGGCAUGAAUCUGAAUCACAACAUUGCUGAGUAGUUGUGCCUGAGUGUCUGUUACCUGGUGACCAGACCAGCUGGUGCCUAGCCUCUACAUCUUACGGCAGCCCUUUUCAUUCUUUCUUCUUUAUUCUGUGUGAGAAGUUAGGAGACAUAUCCUUGGUGAAUGCCAUGAUCCUUAAUUGCCUCAUGACUAUGAGCCCAGCCCAGCCUUCCUAAACAUGCCCCAUCAUAAAGAAGACCCAAGGAGCAGUCAGAACAGCACACAAACUUGUUCAGCCACAUUUACUCCUCUUUUAUUAUGAGCCAGGCCCUAUGCUGGGUGUCAUAAGAAACACACAAGUUAGUACAAUCUGAUUCUUGCCCUCAAAGAAAAGGCAACCAGUAGAAAGCUGGGAGGGAAAAACAAGGAUGAAAAAGACCAUGCUAUAGGCCAAUGCCAGGUAACAACCCUGGGGAUGAUUUUCCGCACUAAUAACCAAUUCUCUGGAUACCAGCUAAGAGUUCAGCAACUCAAUUCUGUCCCAUGGAGUUAGAACGCACCAUCCUUCUGGCACAUGGAUGCGUUUACCAAUCCAGAAGUUCUCUGAACCUUGGAGGUUCCGCUCUACAGGCGUGACUGAUCAAAUCACCGGUCAAUGGUGAUUAAGUCAAUCUCCAACGCUUUUUCUUUUCCUGAGGUUGGGGAGUAGGGCUGAAAGCUUUAAGGCUUGGUCUUUCUGGCAACCAACCCACAUCCCAAAGGUAUCCGGGGUGCCCAGCUACCAGUCAUCUCAUUAGCACAUAGAAGACACUCAUCACUCUGGAGACUCCAAAGGUUGUAGGAGCUGUAUACCAAGAACCAGGAGUAAAGAACAAAUACAUUAUUUUUUUUAUUAUACUCCAACUAUCAUAAGGAAGUUACAAUGAAAGUGUUACGUGGUUUCAAAGGGAAGAAAGAUCGCAUCCAUUUUUAAAGUCCUCAUACUGCAAUAUCUUCUGAUGGUAAAAAACGUGGACUCUGCCAACCCUAGGUUUGACUUGUGGGCAAAUCUCAUAGUCACUCUUCUGCCUCUUUAUUGGUAUCCUCAGUCCAUGAAAUGGAGCAAAGUCAGUUUCCCUGGACAGAGUGUGAAGCACCUCAGAACUCUUACAGGACUGGGGCUCCUUGCCGUAGAGUGUUAAUUUAUUUGCCUGUCUGUUCAGUCCUCUACAGAGCUUAGCUACAGUGCCAUUUUUUGUUAUUGUUUCCGGAAACCACAAAAGAUGAGGAGAUUGCGGCAUGAACCCCGAAGUCCCAUUGUCUGCCAGCCUGUGAGAGAUGAAAAGUGCCACCAGUGUAUCCAGAAAGUCAUUUCUCAGUAGCCAUAGGUGACAAGAGUUACAUUUCUUUACCAGGACACCUUGAUGUGGCACAUCAUAAAUAUUCAGAUUCUGUACACUUUUAAAAAAGAUAUAAUAUCUCCUUUCUUGUAUAACAGUCACUUCAAGGUCAGAUUCAGGGUGGCUCAAAACCAGGAAGUAGGAAUUCUUAUACUUGAGAGAAAGGGGCAGUUGGGGAGUGGGCUGAGGAAGCAGAAACUGAGAAGUGAAGCCAGGCUUGACUUCAGCAAUCAAUGGGUGAGGUGUGGUGUCCCUUGACCCAGGCUGGUGGGGCCUCUCCUCUGGGCCCGUGCUUUCCAGAGCCUGGCUCUGGCACUCCUCCGGCUGUGCCUUCCCCAUGGGAUGAGAAGUUCAGGAGACCAGGAGUGUGCCCACCUGGAGCCCAUGCCCCCACUACUUCUAGACCAAGCUCGUCCAACCUGUGGGCCGUAGACUGCAGGCUGCAUGCGGCCCAGGAUGACUUUGAGUGGGGUCCGACACAAAUUCAUAAACUUUCUAAAAACGUGAGAUUUAUUUGGUGUUUUUUUUUUUUUUUUUCUCAUCAGCUAUCAUUAGUGUUAGUGUAUUUUACAUGUAGCUCAAGACAGUUCUUUUUCCCUUCCAAUGUGGCCCAGGAAAACUAAAAGAUUGGACAUCCCUGUCCUAGACCAUGCUUCAGUGUCAAGGACAUUGGGAUUCCCUGCCCAAACACUAAGGGGUGCCCUUUUGAGGGCUAAUAGUGCCAUCUGUGUGCCUAGAGGGUGGCUGAUAGGUGGCUGCUUGGCAGGGACCAUAGUUGCAGGGAGACAGAGAUGUACACAUUCAUAUGGAAGAGGUCUUUAUGGUCUGAGCAGAACUAGAAGAGGCAUGAGAGAAAGAGGUGGGUUGUGGGCCAGGGGCCUCUGUUUUUAUUAUUGCCCCAGGCCUGUAAAUGUCAGGGGUAGCCCUGAAUGGGAGUCCAGGCUUAGAAAUUUUCAAGCAAAAACACCGGAUUUGCAAAUAGUUCCUAGUAAGGUAGAGCUGGAGUGCCCUUUUGCUAAAUUCAGCCCCAAUUGCUUUUACUUCUAUGUGUCAGUCACUUAAUAGUUCACAGCAAGUGAUAGCACUUGUCCUCCCAGUUCAUAGCUACAGUCCUCGAGAUGCUGGGAUAACAAAAAAAAAAAAAAAAAAAAAAAAAAAAAAAAAAGAGAGAGAAAGUCUGUCUGGCAUAGAAUUCCGAGUUCUAGCCUGACUCAGAGAGGCAACCUUUCGCUGAGGCUUUGGAAUCAGAGUUCUGUCCUGAGACUUGGGCGAGGGCUCCUCGCACGGUCUUGCACGUCAGGGCUCUACUCUCUGGAACGAUUUCUUGAACUUUUCUGUUAAAUUUCUUCCCUUUAAUGCCGGGGACAGGCAGGAGUUAGCAGAACCAAUGAGGUGAGAUAUCUUGGCCCUGUACCAGGGCCCAUGCUGUUGCUGGUGCCCGUUUCUCCCUUUUAGGGCAUUCUCCCAUUCUUUACCAUUGGAUCUGGGGUCGACCAGAUGGCCCAGAACCUCUGAGCCUCGUGCCAAUUAUGUUGUCUUGGGACUAGAACUGGGACUCCAGUUCCGGGAGGGCAGCCUGGAGAGCAGAUAGUUCCUGCUGGCCGGGUAGCAUUUCUUUUGUAGGAUCACACAAAAUCAGGCUACCAGAUGGUGCACAUAUGCUGAUUUGGUGACUCAAAUUGUUUAUAUAGAUCGGGGCUUUGCAAAAAACAAUUUGCAUGGGCCCCACCCAACGUAGGAGCAGCCUUGGUCAAGUGCUUGUACAAAUGGCAAUUGCUUCCCCAGUGAUUCUUUCUAAAUCUGGUAUCUCCCAAACCAUAUAACAAGGACUCAGAUUCUAUAAAGAGCAGGAACCACGAGGCAGAAGGGGAAGUCCUGGGUGUUUAAUUCCUCUGCCUUCGACGUAGAUGGCACAGUCGGGACUUCCCAACUGAGCGGAGCCUUGCUUUCCGUUUCCACAUGCGACAGUGGCCUGUCUGAACCCCACGGGCAGGAAAAUGGAGGAUGCCUCACCAGUACUGAGGGUAAUUGGCAGUGGCUUUAAGGAAGAUAAAUGUCUAAUUUGUGGCAGAGUCUAGGUGAAGGAGAAAAGGGGUGACUUUCAUAAUUCUGUCAGUAAAACCAAGUACCCAGCACAUUCUGUAGGUCCAAAAUAACCCCCUCUCCACCCAAAUUCUCUGUUGUGUUUGCCCUAAGAAGGGGCUUGUGGAAGACGGAAGACGAGCACACGACUGCAGGGCAGCACACAGCUGCUGCUAAUAACAUGGAGUGUUGCCGCUCACAUUUGCUGGGCAUAUUACAGCCAUUGUCUGGUUUAAUACAACGAGGACAUUUGAGGUGAGUACUGUUAUCAUCUCCAGCUCACAGAUGGGAAUAGAGAUCAGAGUGGCGAAAUAAUUUGCUCAAGAUCACGUAGCUGGCUGGGCGCGGUGGCUCAUAGCCAUAAUCCCAGCAAUUUGGCAGGCCGAGGCAGGCAGAUCACGAGGUCAAGAAAUUGAGACCAUCCUUGCCAACAUAGUGAAACCCCAUCUCUACCAAAAAUACAAAAAUUAGUUGGGCCUGGUGGCACAUGCCUGUAGUCCCAGCUACUUGGGAGGCUGAGGCAGCCCAAUUGCUUGAACCUGGGAGGUGGAGGUUGUAGUGAGCUGGGAUUUCACCACUGCACUUCAGCCUGGGUGACAGAGUGAGACUCCAUCUCAAAAAAAUAUAUAUAUAUUACGUACCUAGUAAGUUGUGAAGUCGGGAUUUGAACCCAUAUUUAUCUGCUGGAGGUCUGUUUGUGACCUGAGGGCCAAACUUCUUUUGUGGGGUGAGGAUAAUCUAUCCUGCAAGGAAAAAUCUGGGGCCUUGCAGACCUCACUGGGGCUCAGGAGAGAGCUCUUGGAUGGGCUCUGUUAGCUGAUUUUAAAGAGCCUGAAGUACUUUCAGUGACUGAUUUCUCUUCCUGCGAUCAGCAGCUUCAGAGCAUAGCACACUUAGCUCUUAAAAGGUUACAAAAAGCGGGUGUGAGGUAUUGACAUUAAGAAAAAAAAGAUCGUAUUGUGGUUCUUUUCACCCAAGCACUUCAAAACUCUUCAAAAACACCUCAUGGAAUAUCCUGCUAUCACACUUUACAGAGUAACAACUGAGCACACUCAUUCAGAAAAUCAAUGGCAGAGAAAGUUGAUUUGAAGAAAUGGAACCGGACUCAAGACCCCUCUCGCAGAUAGCCAGUGAUUCUACAGGACAACAUCCUCCACAUUUCUAGGUCUUCAUUUACUCAAGCCCUCAGAAGGAUUCUAUAAACGUGUGGCCAUGUAGACUGAAGUAUAACUACGUUUAAGACGGGAAAAUCACACGGAAAAAUGGACACGGCAUUCGGAGACCAAACAGACACUUUGGAUCCAUUCUGAUUCUUGUGAACUCAGCAAACAUUCUUAAACUGUGCUGAAUAUGACAAAGCCUCUACUUCAAGGAACAUAGGGUUAGCAAAGUAUGGAUGAAACAAGCACAUUCCAUCUAUGACAGAACAUAAAUUAUGAAAAACAUAGGUGUGAGCCACUGGGGUGGUGAGACCUGCGAGCAUUUCCCAAUUUCCCUUGCAAGUAGAUUGGGAACAUGUGACCAGCUUUGGCCAAUCAAUGAACUAUGAAUGGAAGACAUAGGAGUCACUUUUAGGUGGAGGCAGUUGUCCUUUCAUCUGUUCUCUUCCCCUGCCACAGUGACAAGAUAGAGGACAACGUUGUUCUCUGAAGUCCAAAUUGGGCUUUGGUAAGCGAAAUAAACUUUCACACUACAGAACUCCUAAGAAGGCUGUGUGCAGUGGCUCAUGUCUGUAAUCCCAGCACUUUGGGAGGCCAAGAUAGGUGGAUCACCUGGGGUCAGGAGAAACCCUGUCUCUACUAAACCUUGUCUCUACUAAAAAUACAAUAAUUAUCUGGGUAGUGGGGACCUGUAUUCCCAGCUACUCAGGAGGCUGAGGCAGGAGAAUCACUUGAACCCGGGAAGUGGAGGUUGCAGUGAGCUGAGAUCGCACCAUUGCACUCCAGCCUGGGAGACAAGAGCAAAACUCAAUCUGAAAACAAAAAACAAAAAAAACUCCUAAGAAAUCUAGGCCUGUUUAAUAUUACAACAUUGGUUAGCCAAACCAAUACAGAUAGGUAGGAUUACAUAAUGAGGAGUGAGGCCAAAAUCGAGAGAAAUGUAAUUAAGAAGACAAGAAUUUUGAUGAACCCAGGAGCACUGAGCUCAGAAAAGAGUAGUGCUUAAGCAGCUCAUAGAAAGCAGGGGUGAGUUUUCACUGAGGUUGAAUUAUCUUCUACUUACUGAGAUAUUGUUUGGAAACACGGCAUGCACAUUUAUUACUGAUGGAAAACAGAAUCAAUACUCUGGCUGAAUAAUGCAUUAAGCAGUCUGAGUGGGUCCCUGAGUCAUGGGCACCCUAACAGAUCAGUGUGGCUUAGAGGUCGUGUCCUCUGGGUUCUGUAUCUCCAACCUAUUAAGAAUAAUAUUACUAUUAGUGCAUUAAUUUAGACAUUUGGAGAGACAGGAGAAGUGGGAGUAGAAUUUUGGUCCUUGAAGAACUUGUGGGCAGGGAAGGAAAAUUGCAAGCACUGUAUAGAGUGAGGAAAAAAGGCAAGUGAGGAGUGAUCAUUAUGGGCAGUGGCAGGUCAGAGGAGACUUUCUGGGACCUGAGAGCUGGGUCCUAGAGGGAGCAAGAGUUAUAGACUGGUAAAGAGGAGGUAGACAGGUCAUCCCACUGAAGUGAGCAAAGGACUGAGUGCUCACAUCUGAGUUGCUGAUGAACAGAACUCAUGAAGAGUUUGUGCGAAUGCAAUCCCAAAUGUUCUGAUCAAAGGGAAAGGAGUGGAUCUAAGGGAGGGAAGAGAGGCAAAUUCUCCUAACAUUUUCCUUUUAUUAGUCGUUCCUUGUUGACCUGGAGCUCUUAUGAAACAUGGCCUGUGGUUGGCCAUGGCCGUGCUGCACCUUGAAGAGUGGUCAUCCUGCCCUUUAGAUUUAAGUCUUUUUCUUUCUCCCCAUUGGUUAUACAUCAGGUUGUUAUUGUUGGUGACAAUCACAAAAUUAGUCCAUUAGGCCAACUGCACAUCUGAACCAAGCCAAAAAGGCGGCCUUACCAACACAUUGGGUUGCUGCCUGGUGCUGUGACCCCAUGAGCAUUAGUUUCUUCAUACGUAAAGUUAGAAUUAAAUUAAAUAUGAUUUUUUUUGAGAUGGAGUCUUGCUCUGUUGCCCAGGCUGGAGUGCAAUGGUGCAGUCUUGGCUCAUUGUGACCUCUGCCUCCCAGGUUCAAGCAAUUCUCCUGCCUCAGCCUUCCAAGGAGCUGGUACUACAAGUGCACGCCACCACACCUGGCUUAUUUUUUGUUUUUUAGUAGAGAUGGGGUUUCACUGUGUUGUCCAGCCUGGUUUCAAACUCCUGAGCUCAGGCAAUCCACCUGCCUCAGCCUCCCAAAGUGGUGGGAUUAUAGGCGCGAGCCACCGCUCCCAGCCCUAAAUGAGAUAAUUUUUAUACAACAAUUAGUUUGUAAUUGGCCUUUGGUAGAUUCCUAAUCAUCAGUAACAUUAUUGUCACCAAUCUAUGUUUUUUAUCACUAAAUCAGAAUGCAUUUGUGAUUAUAUAAAAAGCUCUUUUGGUGGGUGAUAAAAAAUGAAAACUGACUUUGUUUUAAGCUAUUUCAGGCCAUGUUUAUUUGUCCUGUUGGAAAUCCAAAGUUCCAAAUGGUUGAGGACGAAGUCAUUGCUAAUAUUAAUGUUGCUUUUUAACAAUUCACUUUCUUUUUUUCCCUUGCUUUCUUCUGUCAUCAGAAUAAAGGAGUUAUCCAUAUGUUUCACGAAUGAUCAAUGAAUAUACAAAUUUAUGAUUAAUAAUUUUUUGGAAAUUGCAGAUUUUCAAAAGUGGGCAAAACACUUCAAUACAUCAAUUAUUAUUUUGAAAAUUCUUGGAAAUCUUCAUCUUCCUGUCUUAGUGCCUUCAGAAUGGAAAACUGUUCAGUUCUUUCACCUCUUGGGGAAAGCUGCAAUUAUUAUGCCUGAUUCUCUUGUUUUUAAAAUUUUAGUUUAAUAGAAAAAUGUUUAAUUAAAAAAAGAUCAAAUGUCAUUUGAACAAGUGAACAGUAUAGAAUGAGUUUUCAGAAAGUUAAACUGUAAGUUGUAACAAAUGGCUAUAUAAAAUCCCUUGUGUUUCAGGGAGGAAAACAUCACACGCCAGGGCCUGUCAAGGGGUUGGGGGCAAGCGGAGGGGGAGCAUUAGAACAAAUACCUAUGCAUAUGGGGCUUAAAACCUAGGUGAUGGGUUGAUAGGUGCAGCAAAGCACCAUGGCACACAUAUACCUAUGUAGUAAACCUGUACAUUCUGCACCUGUAUCCCAGAACUUUAUGUAAAAUAAAAAAAUUAAAAAAUAAAUUAAAAAAAGAAGGAAGAACUAUUACAAAAAAAAAAAAAUCCCUUGUGUUUGAAACAGUGAUUGAAGUAGUGUAUUUCAAUAGCUUUACGCAGAUGUUCUAGAACGAACUUUUUUUCUUUACAAAUCAAAGAAAACUUCAGUUGAAAGAGUGGCACCUUUUUGCUUUUUUUUCCCAUCAAAAUGCAUCUGUACAUUAGUGAAGCGCUUUAACGAUCUUCACUGUGCACGAUUACAAAGUGCUCUAUUAUAUGCAAGUACCAUGGAGGUAAAUAGCAGUUUUCAUGACUGUAAAUUUCAAACUUUCUCCCUUUAAAAAACAUAUCAGUGAUUCUACUGCACAUCAAGAUACUUAGAUUAGAGUGAAACCAUUUUCUGAUUCUCAAAAGGUAGUAACGUUUUGUUAUAUUUGUGAUUUGAGCUACUUCAAAACAGCUAGAGCAGCUAAUUAUUCCUCUGAGCCUACGGGAUGGGAGAAUUUUGCAGGGAGAUAAACACAGGUUAUUAUUAUUUUAUUUCUUUUCCCUUGACUACCAGGUAUGAGUGACUGUCAGAGAACACUCAUGAUAUGUCAUCUUCAUUGCCCAUGCACAUCUACAUUUUUGGAAACUCUAGAAGCUUCUGAAAUUUCGAAAUUCAGAGAAGUUUGGCUCUGGGUUUCAAGUAAAUUGGACACCUUACGCCAGUGAUUCUGGGAUUAGAGGCCCAUGUUCUUGGAUGACGAGCAUUUGGGAAUGAAGAAUAUACAAUAAAUACCAUCUGAUCUUUAGCAGAGAGAGUCAGGUCACGAGCUCUUAAUCAGACAGGCAUGGCUUAAAUUUCUACCUCUGAUAUUUUCUUGAGUAAGUUACUUAAGCUUUCUAAACUUUAUUUUUCUCAUCUUUAUAAUGGGGGUAAUGAGACCUCCUUCGCGGGGUCACUGUGAAAUUUAAAUAUACAAACGCAUGCGUAUACAUACACACACAAUUAUUUGGCGAUGUUAGUAUGUUUAGUUCCUGGCAGUGAGCUUAAUAAGUGGCAGUUAUUUUUCUUAUUAAAGCUAAAGAGCUUUGCCCAAACAUCUAUAGCGACCCAAAUAAAUAAGUGUUCUACUCAAAUGAAAUACAAAAAUCCAAACAAAAAAUUGUGAUUGCCUCAGUUAAAGUGAAAUGGAGGAAAACAACACUUCAGUUCCUUUGGGCCAGGUUCCUUCUGUGGGCCUAGUACAGUGUGAGCUGAUUGGUCUUUCCUAUCUGGGCAUUUAGGAAAAAUAUCUGACUCUAGAAGAGUUUUCUUAAAUUUUUUUUUUUUUUUUUUUUGAGAUGGAGUUUCACUCUUGUUACCCAGGCUGGAGUGCAAUGGCGCGAUCUCGGCUCACUGCAACCUCCGCCUCCUGGGUUCAGGCAAUUCUCCUGCCUCAGCCUCCUGAGUAGCUGGGAUUACAGGCACGCGCCACCGCGCCCAGCUAAUUUUUUGUAUUUUUAGUAGAGACGGGGUUUUACCAUGUUGACCAGGAUGGUCUCGAUCCCUUGACCUCGUGAUCCACCCACCUUGGCCUCCCAAAGUGCUGGGAUUACAGGCAUGAGCCACCGCGCCCGGCCCCCUUAAAUUUUUUUUUUUUUAACUUUCCAAACAUCUGCAUAAAAUACUGUUCAUUGGCCAUUGGUAGAAUCUAAUUGCAUUUAGAUUGCUGAAUAAAAACCACGUAGAGGAAAAUGACAUUCUGGGUGAAAGCAUAGGAUCAACUGGAUUGUUUCAAUAAGUUUCAUCUAUUGUCAGAGGAAUGAGUGAAGGGUUCUAGCUGCAGUUGUGAGACUGUAAAAACCAUUUAAAGCACGUCAACAUGUUAGAAUUUAUUUGCAUCGUUCAGAGAAGGGGAAACAAGGAAGAAUUAAAGCUUAUUAUUAUAGUGUGACUUGGCUAUUUUUCUAUUGUUUGAAAAUAACUUUAAGAUGCAGAGAUUUUUUGUUUUUGAGGUCUGUUUUGUUCACCUUUUUCUAAAAGAUGCACCCAUGCUCACUAAGUGGUAGGUGAUGACCAUUUGAAGUGGGAUUUAAAGUCUUAUGUAAAAAAUGAUGUAACCCCACAAUAGUAAAUAACAUUUAAGGAGAUUUUGCAAAGGACUUUAUUGAAACAAAGAGAGACAUGAAUCCAGAAAGUACACUUAAACAAAAUGUAAAAUACAAGACAAGCAGAUCUAGUUUUCAUUCUAUCAAUAUGCACAAAGCCCUGUAGUAAUUACACAGUAAAACAUUUGCCAUUGGCAUGGCCCUAAGGUGUUUGCAUUUGGAUUGGGGAAUUUUGGAUCUUGUCUUAUCAAAUAAACUUUUCUAACAAAAUCUGGUUGACUUGAGCAAAACGUCUGCUAUACAAUGGGAAAACAAGAAUCUCAAACGUUAGAAAGAAUUCAUCUUUGUGGAUUUAAUUGCCAUUGACAGAAAAAGGCCAUUGGACUGGAAAGAUAAUCACUGUUCAGUCAGAAAGCAUUAUGUAGUUUGAAAUUAAGGAAAAAAAUUCUAUUAUGUUAAAACAGCUGGAAAAUGAAAUCUAAUAAAGAAAAUAUUUAAUUUAAGUGAUUUACUUUAUUUCAUUUUAUGUUUUUUGGUCAGUGAACUUUUUCACUGCAAAUGUGACAUGUAUGACUAAAUAUCACAUGUCUGGGACAGGUAGAAGCUGAUACUUAUUGAUAAAUGUCAAUCUUGGGAGAAAAAUAUAACAGAUCUACUGCUUUUAAGUUUAUUGCCUUUCCAUGCCAAUCCAAGUUUUUUUUGACAUGACAUAAGAAGAACUCUAGUCCAUCUUACCUACAGGCUGGGGAAAGUUAUUCUCUGGGAGGGCAUUUUUUUUUCUUUUAUUGCAUUUUAGGUUUUGGGGUACAUGUGAAGAACAUGCAAGAUUGUUGCAUAGGUACACUCAUGGCAGUGUGAUUUGCUGCCUUCCUCCCCUUCACCUAUAUCUGGCAUUUCUCCCCAUGCUAUCUCUCCCCAACUCCCCACCCCCCGCUGUCCCUCCCCUAUUUCCCCCCAAGAGACCCCAGUGUGUAGUGCUCCCCUCCCUGUGUCCAUGUGUUCUCAUUGUUCAACACCCACCUAUGAGUGAGAACAUGCGGUGUUUGAUUUUCUGUUCUUGUGUCAGUUUGCUGAGAAUGAUGGUUUCCAGGUUCUUCCAUGUCCCUACAAAGAACAUGAACUCAUUGUUUUUGAUGGCUGCAUAAUAUUCCAUGGUGUAUAUGUGCCACAUUUUCCCUGUCCAGCCUGUCAUUAAUGGGCAUUUGGGUUGGUUCCAGGUCUUUGCUAUUGUAAACUGUGCUGCAAUGAACAUUUGUGUGCAUGUGUCUUUAUAGUGGAACGAUUUAUAAUCCUUUGGAUAUAUAUUCAGUAAUGGGAUUACUGGGUCAAAUGGAAUUUCUAUGUCUAGGUCCUUGAGGAAUUGCCACACUGUCUUCCAAAAUGGUUGAACUAAUUUGCACUCCCACCAACAGUGUAAAAGUGUUCCUAUUUCUCCACAUCCUCUCCAGCAUCUGUUGUCUCCAGAUUUUUUAAUAAUUGCCAUUCUAACUGGCAUGAGAUGGUAUCUCAAUGUAGUUUUGAUUUGCAUUUCUCUAAUGACCAGUGAUGAUGAGCAUUUUUUCAUAUGUUUAUUGGCCUCACGUAUGUCUUCUUUUGUAAAGUGUCUGUUCAUAUCCUUUGCCCACUUUUGAAUGGGCUUGUUUGUUUUUUUUUCUUGUAAAUCUGUUUUAGUUCUUUGUAAAUUCUGGAUAUCAGCCCUUUGUCAGAUGGGUAAGCUGCAAAAAUUUUUCCCAUUCGGUUGGUUACCAAUUCACUCUAAUGACUGUUUCUUUUGCCGUGCAGAAGCUGUGGAGUUUGAUUAGGUCCCAUUUGUCUAUUUUGGCUUUUGUUGCCAAUGUUUUCGGUGUUUUGGUCAUGAAGUCCUUGCCUACUCCUAUGUCCUGAAUAGUUUUGCCUAGCUUUUCUUCUAGGGUUUUUAUGGUAUUAGGUCUUAUGUUUAAGUCUUUGAUCCAUCUGUAGGUAAUUUUAGUGUAAGGUGUCAGGAAGGGGUCCAGUUUCUGCUUUCUGCAUAUGGCUAGCCAGUUUUCCCAACACCAUUUAUUAAACAGGGAAUCCUUUCCCCAUGGCUUUUUUUUUUCAGGUUUGUCAAAGGUCGGAUGGUUGUAGAUAUGUUGUGUUGCCUUCUGGGAGGGCAUUUUGAUCCAACAGUCCACUCGUUAAGAUAUUCAGAUAAGAUUACACGGGGUGGCACAACUUAUUCCUUCCUGAGUUAGUCUUCAGCCUCCUCCCAAACUGAAGCUGCCAUGGUGGCUUGGUUUUGUGUUUGUGGAGUCUGCUGUUUCUUCUGUUUUCUUUGUUUCUUCUUCCUCCUUCACGAACUUUUCAAAGCCCAGCCCACCAGCCCUGGGCAGACUGUUCCUUUCACCCACAACCCUUAUGCCCAAGGACUGUGGCAAGUAAGAUUUUUCCUGGUGGGUAUAUGAUUUUAAAAUAUUGUGACAUAUUGAUGUAGACAUAGUCCAGAUCUCAGUGAGCUUUUCUUCCUUCCCAAGAGUCUGGGGUUCUGCACUCUAAGACCAGGCUGUAUCUCUUGUAUCCAUAUAUAUAGAUCUAAAUGAAGUCCCUGGGUGAAUAUGAUUUUAGCUAUUGUCUUUCUAUGUUUGUCCUGCUACAAUCAAAUACCAGAGAUUAGGUCAUUCAUAAAGAAUAGGAAUGUAUUUCUCACAGCUCUGAAGACUGUGAAGUUCAAGAUCAAGGUGCCAGCAAAUUUGGAGGCUGGCAAGGGCUGCUCUCUGCUUCUAAGACGGCACCUUGGAAGGGGAAGGGGCAAAAGGGGCAAAAAGAGGCAAAAAGGGGCAAGUGCUUCCUUGCACCUCUUUUAUAUGAUCACUAGUUUCAUUCACAAGAAUUCUAUCCUCGUGACUUAAUUAUCUCCUAAAGGCUCUACCUCUUAGUACUGUCACAUGGCAAUAACGUUUCAACACAUGAAUUUUGGGGGACAUUCAGACCAUAGCAACUAUGAACUCUAUCAUUCUCCAAUUUCUUUUCUCUAGAAAACAUCCAGUCAUCAUAGUUAGGGGCUUUCUUAACUCCUCUGCUUACUCAUUCAUUUGUUCAUCUUGCUUGUAUAGGUGCCGGAUACUUGUGUUUGUCACUGGGAAUACAAGAAUUACUAAGACAUGGUUCCUCCUCUCAAGAAGGAGCUAUUUUUAAACUAUAGCUCAGUAGUGCUAUAGAAUGAAGUUAGAUGUCCUCAGAAUUUCCCUGAGACCAUCUGCCGUAGCCUCAGAUCUGCUCACUACACUUUUGCUUCUUCCCAUCAGCAUCACCCCCGACUCCCCUGUGGGAGCUCCAGUGUGCACUCGCUGUCUCCUAAUUCACAGUGAUGCAGGCAAAUAUCUAGGCUGAGGUAUUUGGAGAGAAGAUAAGAAAUUGUAGGCUGGUCACAGUGGCUCACACCUGUAAUCCCAGCACUUUGGGAGGCCAAGGUGGGUGGAUCACCCUGAGGUCAGGAGUUCGAGACCAGCCUGGCCAACGUGGUGAAACCCUGUCUCUACUAAAAAUACAAAAAUUAGCUGGACCUGGUUGUGGGUGCCUGUAAUCCCAGCUUCUUAGGAGGCUGAGGCAGGAGAGUCACUUGAACCAGGGAGGUGGGGGUGCAGUGAGCUGAGAUUACACCACUGUACUCCAGCCUGAACAACAGAGUGAGAUUUUGUCCCAAAAGAAAUAAAAAAAUAAUAAAAGAAAAGAAAAAGAGAAAAAAAAAAAAAAAAGGAAAAGAAAUUGUAGAAGUCUGUGUCUAAUGGCCUUUAUUUACUCUGUGAAGUAAGAGGCAAAUUCAGUGCUCAGAGGCAGGGCAAAGAUUAAGAAAAGUGGUAAAGUGUAACCCAGGUCACUCUCUCAGCAUCUCCUUUUUCACUAGCUUCAUCGGCCCCUCAAAAAGCCCCACAAGUAUUUCAGGGGUUACCAGAAUGUCUUUCACAUGCCUAGAGACACAUCCACACCCCCUCCCACUUCUGGUGUCAGGGUGUCCAUGAAGCCCUCUAGGUACUCACCACGGGUUUCUGCCAGUGGCCUGAGUGGGUGGCUGCUGCAUGACCGGGUACAAAGGUCACUCCUCUGAUGCUCUGCAGCUCCUCUGGGCCACAGUCCUUCCCAGCAUGUUUUCUGACCUGCAGCCACCUGGCUUCUCUGAGUCUCUGUGCUGGCAUGCUCCAAAGCUGUGUUACCCAGGCCUUGAUGGGCUGCAAUAUGAAGAGAAACUGUUCUUUCAGUUUUUACUCACAGCCUCUUUCUCCCUUGUUUACAGACAAGCAGCAAGGACUGGCUUAGGGAUACAAGGACACAUUUAAAUAAUACCCACCUGCUAUUCUCAGAAUCCCUGAGAAUGCGCCGAUGAUUAAGGCUCUGUUAUUAGCUCAACAUCAUUGUGCCUUACAAGAAAUCUGCUUGAAGGGAUCUGCAGAUUCCCCCAUUCCCCUCACUAUGCAGUCUAAACCCCAGCUAUGGACACAAUUCAAGCCACCAUAUCAGCAGAUUUCAAAAUCCCCUUUCUUAAUAGCUCUAUGAGAUCAUGACAGCAGAAUAGACUUAAGUUAAACUCCAUGCUGGGAAAGUUUUUAGAAUAACUGCUUAGGGGAUGGAAAAUACACUAGACUAGAGAAAGUUAUAAAAUUGCUAACCUCCACUCAUUGCUCCUUGGAGACUGGAGCCCUUCGAUUGGAGUGGUACCAUCCAGCAUCUGUGUGUAAUUUGUCCAGCAGUGUCGAGCAGCCCAGAAAGAAAAGAGACGUUUGAAUUGAAUCAGGGAUGAGGGUGAGCAGGGCUGGUAAGGCAUAGUAAUACAGAGUGUGAGAGACGAUUGAGAAAGUUUCUAACGUUGUUGUUGGAAUGAUUGAUUUUGAAGCUCAGCUGGGUGGUGCAGAGAAGGAAGAGGAGGCUGGGAGAGUUGAGAGAGUCAUUUGUUUAGUAAGUAUUUAUUGAUCACUGACAGACAAUGUGCUGGGCAGGUACAGGUAUAGGUUGUGGGAAAACUGUCCUUGAGAAGUUUGCAGGCAGGUUGGAGGGGUAGGUAAUCAUAGUAUAGAGCGCUAACUGCUACAAUAGUCUCGGGAGUUGUAGAAGUAGACAAGAGAAGCAUCUGACUUUUCCAACUGCUGGAGGAAAUGCAUCUUGGAAAAGCAUCUGAGUUUUUCAAGACCGCUGGAAACAAGCACCUGAUUUUUCUAAGACAGCACCUACAUGAGGACCUGGGAGGCAGGAAGGAGUUAGCCCAGGGGAAGGGGAAAGAAGGUGUGCUCAGGCAGAGAUACCAGCUUGGGUGAAAUCUUGGAGGUCAGCACAGGGUGACUGGAGUGUAGUGGACUGAGGAGGAGCAGGGAGGGAGGGCUGGCCAGAUUGGCAAGGGCUAUGUCAGGAAGGGCCAUGGGGUAUUGUAGGAUACUUUCACAGCUCUCUACACAGCUCAGUUCCUGGUGGCCACCACGAAACUGCCUCACCAUCAAGGGUAGAGUCCAGAAUUCAAGUUCAUGUCAUGUUGAUUGUGCUUUGCUAGUCACAGCUGAUCAGACCUAAGGAUCAUGGUCCAGAAUAUUCACAUAGGGGAAGAGAAAUCUAUUUGCAGAAAGACAGAAUUGAAUCAGCAUGUGCAGAGAGAAGGGGAGGGAGAGAUAGGGCCUGAGAAAUGUAUUAAGGUUCUAACUUCCUUUAGCUCUUGAGCUCUGGGGCAUUCCCCUGUGUCCUUGUAAUUAAUUCUUCCGUUUUGCAUCCAUUUGUUUCUUGCAACCAAAGGAGCUUUGACAAGGCUCACUAGGAAGGGAACAUAUAAUGAGAGGGGGACUCUGUGGAGUAGCCACGUGGAUAGAGUUGCUUCAUGUCUCAAAUUGUCAAUCACAGACUUUUCUAGUCUGGGCUGUGGUUUCCUUGGUUGUACCAGUGUCUUCAAAGCUUACUAGGCAUUUUUUUUUUUUUUAAAUCUAGGUCAGGGGUCAGCAAACUACAGCAUGUGGGCCAAAUCCAGACCAACGCUUAUUUUUGUAAAUAGAGCUUUUAUUCAACACAGAGACGCCCAUUUCUCACAUGUUGAUUUCUCUGAGUUCCAUGUUGCCAUACCCGUGAUUCCUUUCUAGACACAUUUUUUAGAUUUCCCAUAAUCCUUUGCAUUCUUGUUUCCAUGCCAGCUCCUUUUUUUCUCACUCUAAUUGUCCAGUAUCUUGAGCUUGUCAGCUUUAGAUGGAAGAAUUGGAAUCUACCUCCCACCAAGACCUAAACAGUGAGGAGAAAUUCCUCAAAUAGGAAAAAUUUUUGAGUUGCAGUGUCAAGAAAUGACAAAUAUCCGCGGCUGAGGGAUGAGGUGGACUUUUCAGAACCCUGGAGCUUUGGAAGAGGCAGCACGAAGUAGUGGGAAUCAGGAAGUCUGUCUCUCCAUACACACUGUCUCACUAACAGGCUGGAGACCUUAACAGUCACGCAACCCCCUGGAGCUUCAGUUUUCCUGUCUACAAAAUCUAGGGGUUUCUAGAUUUUUAAUUUCAUUGACCAAUAACAUUUCAAAGGGAAUUUUUGGAAUUAACAUUGAUAUCUUGCCAGUUUGUUGCUUUGUUAAGUAAAGAUAUUAUUUAAAAUAACUACCAACUACUAUCACCAUCAUUUUAUGCAAUGAAAUAUAUUUUAUACGAAAAAUUAGGAAGGAUAUCAUCUCAGAAUAAUAAUUAAUUCUUUAAAUUGAGUUAGCUUUUAAGAAAACUUACUAUGUUGGUUUUUUUCUUUUUUCCAACUUCACGUGGACCAGUGAAAGUCUGGCAUUACACCAUGGGUGUAGGGGGAACCGUCAGUAAUGGUUUUUAAGGUCUUUCCCAAGAUCGUGAUUCUUUGAUUUUCUGAAGGCUGGAGAGAGGAGUUUUUGUCUAAGCUUGUUAUGACACUGGAAACUUUUUCCUUUUGAUCCCUUAGCAAACCUUUUUUGGAUGACCUUCAGUGCAUGGCAGAAACUUUACCUUUUAAUGUGUAUUUAAAAAAACCCUUGAAUGGUAAGAGGAAGCCUUUGGGACAAGGAACAUCCACCUCUUUAUGUUGCUUAAUGUUACUGUCGUAGAGGUGCCCAGAGACCUUGGCAGUGAGUGCAUUUCUAUAAAUCUUAAAAAUCAACCAACUAAUCAAUAUGUAGGGAAGGCUGAUAGAUGUGCACUUAGGGGACUAAAUGCCUGGUCCAGGUUGGCCUUUCUCAACGUUGAGGAGACAUUGAUGCUUGGGGAUGUGCAAAGUUUCAUAAAAAUUACCUUUGUCUUGCUCUCCUUCCCACACUUUUCAAAAUCAUACGUUUUGAAGGCAGCUGGGGUCAAGGGAAUUGAAUAUGCACAUUUUGAAGGAAAGAAACCACUGAUGCGUCUAUAAAUACUGAGGAAUAAUAACAGAAGGGAAAGGAACACGUUAUUGACUGUGGCUAAAAGUACAGCAAGGGAUAAUGGGCCUCAUCAGACCAAGGGAAACUUUUCAGCUCUAAGGAUCCAACUUCCUAACAGUGGGGCGUGUGGAGAGGCGUGUAGGUAGAGGCCCUUUUCUGGGUGUUCAGAUCUGAGCACAUGAGAAAUGGAAGGGUUUAGUACCUUCUGUUUACCACCUUAAGAAGGGUGAGCAGCACUGCCUUCACCAGGGGUUUCUAUGGCCAUGGGGGGUUGUGUUUUUUUUCAGCCCUGAGAUCUGUAACUGUGUUUUUCUUCGUAGAUUUUGUGUUGACUCAUUUUGAUUGCUCCAUUUCCUUCCUCUCCUUACAGUCCUAUGUCUGUGGUUGUCUCUUUUUAAAGUUUUAUCUUGCAGGUGCCCUUUGUUUUCCUCUUUGUGUGGACCAUUUUGGUUCAUUGUGUGCAUGCCCAUGUUGUUUACUCUGAUGCUUUUCCUUGAAACUCCUCUUGCUGGCUUGAACGCUUAGCUAUUGGAACACAAAUAACUACCCUGUGAAAGAGAUCUUUCUUUUAUCCACUUUCCCAAGUUACCUGUUGCUGUUCUUUGGAAAGUUCAUGAUUAGGAGCAGUUGUUCAGUCAUGUUGUCUUCAUACAUGAAGGAUGGUUUGUUAUAUGUGGUAUAUUUAUCUUGGGACUGUGAGGUAAAAAGACUGAUUCCUAAACAAAUAUACCAGCAUUUACAGACAACAGCAACAAAAACCAACACCAAGCUAUCCCUCACCAUAGCCUCUUUAUUCCGAUACUACUGCCAAUAGUAAUAAAUAAAUAAAUAACAACAAAAUAAAAUAAAAUAAAAUUCUGGGCUGGGCGCAGUGGCUCAUGCCUGUAAUCCCAGCACUUUGGGAGACAGAGGCAGGCAGAUCACCUGAGGUGAGGAGUUCAAAACCAGCCUGACCAACAUGGUGAAACCCCAUCUCUACUAAAAAUACAAACAGCUGGUCUGGUGGAGCCAUCUCUACUAAAAAUACAAACAGCUGGUCUGGUGGCGCACAUUUGUAGUUCCAGCUACUUGUGAGGCUGAGGCAGAAGAACUGCUUAAACCUGGGAGGUGGAGGUUGCAGUGAGCCGAGUUGACACCUGGUGAGUUCAGCCUGGGCGACUGAGCAAGAUCCUGUCUCAAAAAAAAAUCUGGACUCAUCCAUUGGAAUUACCCUUACAGUUUAUCAUAAAUCACAUCAGAAAAUUGGUCUCGUUACUUCAUAACCCCACUAUUUAAUUAGACCUGAGAUUAUAUUACCAUUUUCCUCUAUCUUAUUUAAUUAAAUCUGCUUCAUAUGCAUUUAAAUGCAGGAUGACAGUGAAAAUAUUUUACAACACAGGCCAGUCAAAACAGAUGAUAGUUAUCAGCAGCAAAUAUACCUGUAGCAAUGUAUAGCCUCUGAAUAUCAAUUUCACUUUAUGCUAUUCCAAAACAUUUUGAAACAUACAAAUGCCCCUCUUGUGGUGAACUUUGAUCAUUUUUGACUUUCCAAUGUUCGACUUUAGCUGCUCUUUUGGGAGACUUCCCCACCGUGUGUGGUUUUCAUGAUAUAGUGGGUAGUGUCCAGCCCCUCACUACUCAUGGUGAGAGGUUAUCAGAAGAAUUUUUUCUUUCCCUACUUCUGAGUUCCAAGAACAUGGCAGAAUCUUGGCUAUCAGAUGCUCUCUUGAGCAAAUCCAAACAAGGCAAAGAGAUUUUAGUGCCCAUUCAAGAUGGAGGCCGUAUCAGUGUCUUGGGGCAGGGAGCAAUAGCAUGGGAUGGUGGUGGUGAAAGUAUUUUAAAUAGACUAUUUCUACUAAAAGAUAAUUGUGUUUCCUGUAUUUCCUAAUUCCCUCUCAAUACAUUUUCGCUUUCUACUUAAGAGAGUCAGAAAUGAUUUCUGUAACUUAUGGCUAAAGGCAUCUAUUUAGGAUCUACAAAGUUGGCCUCAGACUUUAAGAGCAAGUAGGCAUUUUUGUUAAUUGACAAAACCAAUUCUGAGAAAUACCUUGGCAGGCUAGGAUAUGGACCCAAACCAACACUAAAAAUAUAAAUCAAUGUCGUGAGGCCGAGAACUGACUAGCAGCAGUUCAUGUGACAGUGUUCUGUAGUUUUAUUUUGACCGAAGUUCAAUGAGGGCAUCCCAAGAGGUGACAUGACUACUAUCUUUGGGAAAAAGGUGGUCCCAGGAGCCUUUUAUUUGGUUCUGUAUAUUAAAUCCCUUGACAGUAUUUAAGCUGCCUUGUAUAUCUAGCUUUGUGAGAUUAAAGAGACAGUACAAAGGAGAUGACAAAUAAGGAAGAAAACUUAUUUCUAUUAAUUAGACAUUUGUAGGAUAGUACUUCAUUUUUAUAAAUUGAUUUUAUAUGAUUUUAAAAAUUUUAUCUUCCAUAAAGCUACCACUUAUUGGCUCUACUUCGCACAUUGGGAAAUAAACUUAGUGAGCUAGGGUACUUGCUCAAGGUAACACAGCUUGUAUGUGAUAGAGCUAGGAUAUGAACUCAAGACUUUUGACUUCAAACCUCAUACUAUCAUACAACAUCAUCCUUUGAUUGGAAAUUUAUGUGUCUGUAUCAACCCUAUGGGAUUUAUUGAACUCAGGAAUUGAUGUUUGAAUGCUGGAUGUUGUAAAUGACAUCAAUACAUUUGAAUGGUAUAAACUGAUGUCAAAAUACUGUCCUGGGUUUAUCUGAAACCUCUACUGAUUUGUAAUAAGAAGUGCACUAUGAUAGACUGGACAGAAAAAAUGUGGCACAUAUACACCAUGGAAUACUAUGCAGUCAUCAAAAAUGAUGAGUUCGUAUCCUUUGUAGGGACAUGGAUGAACCUGGAGACCAUCAUUCUCAGCAAACUGACACAAGAACAGAAAAUGAAAUACCGCAUGUUCUCAUUCAUAGACUCAGCUCCCACUGGGACUCCAGAUGCGGGUGGAACCACAGGAGAACUGCAAGACCACGCCAUUCAGUGACAGAUCGUGCUGGAGAAAGCCUCCUCAUCGCUGGGCCACUGCGUCUACCACAAAAGCCCCUGUGGGCUGGCACUAAUGGAGGACCUGUGUGGCUACCAAGUAUCAAUGACAUUUGUCAAUGGAGGCCGAUAAAGGUCAAGUAAUUACUGGGAGAGUGGUCAGCUGUCCCCUAGGGAGUGUGGCAGGGCUGCAGUCUCACUGAGCAAGCCCGCAAUGCCUGGCCCGCAGCAUCAGCAAUGAGCACGUCCCAUCAGUGCGGGCAAGGUCGGGAGGCGUCCACAUCAAUAGAUCAUAAGUACUUUAUUGAUGAGUGGUCUUGCAUUCGACAGCCAAGCUUCAAAGGCUGGCUUCUGUGACCCCAUAGGCAAGGUAAGAGAGGCCCGGGAACAGGCCUCCCAUCGUCAGCCGACGUUGGAUAACCUCCCUUUCCACAGAUGCACAAUCAACACUCGGCCACCAACCUACCCACUUUGGCUUCUGCCCUUGUCUUAGGCUUUUGCAGCCUCACUUCAUCCGAUUGGCCUGAGCUGAAAGCCUGUGGAAGAUGGACGCACCUACGGGGGCAGGGGUCUGGGUCCUGUUUGAGGCAGGGUGUCAGCGCAGUUAAGAGCCAGGGGGAGCAGGUAGCUUGAAAGAAUGGUUCAGGGUAAGCACAGCACAUGACAGUUACAGAACACACUGUGACGGAGAGAGAGGCGUCUUGCCCGGGGAAGAUUGACACCAGUCUGUGCUCACCUCUGCGGUAAUGAAAUACUCUGCCUGCUUUCUGGCUGGAAAGAAGAAGAAAGGCAAAUGCAAACAAGUCAUUAGCCUCUUCCUGAAGCACAACCUCACUCCCAACUGGGUGCUGCCACAUUACUAAAACAUGGUGCUGCCUAUGCUCCUCCCAACCCUGUCCUCUCUUCUUUUCUAGGCCUGAGCAUCACUUAUCAAGGAUAGGGUAACGGUAGUGCUAGAGGAAUCUGUAAUGACCUGACUGUCGGUGCCUUUAACAAAGAGAGUCUGCCUUCGAGGUGGGGGUAGGGGGUCAGGAGCAAUUCUAAAGUCAGGAAGCCUUUGGUGACGUUAUGCAUUUCUUAUUUUUGUUCCCCUUUCAGGGGUAUUGGGGUCACCAUCUCAAUGAGUCAAAAACUUGGCGGUGCAUUAUGGGGAGUUUUGUCAUAUUCCUGAAGGUAUCACCAUGGGUUGGUUUUAAUCUGCUCCCAUUCAUUGAAGGAUAAAGAUGGUCACACACGGUGUCAUCUAAAUGUUCUCUGAUGUGCCUGUUUUGCUUAUGCUGGCUCUGAUCCCUCUUAGCACAGCCACAGAUCUAAUCAGAGCUCCUACGUGGACUUUGACUUCAGAGGUCAUGAGAAGGUAACCGGGGGAGCGGAGAUGGCAAAGGUCUGAGACUCUCUGUAGUCAUGAGAAGUUGUCCAUUUUACCUGUGGAAAUCAUAUUUUAAAUAAAGGCCUUUUGAUAUUCAAGGGAAGUAUGUGCAUCUACAUAUGUUUCAACUAAAUCAGGAAAUUAAAAAGGAAGUUUGACAAGGCUGUAGGGGAAUCUCUUAUUUGAGAGUAAAGAUAGAAAGAGGAUGCUUUUACAAUGCUUGCAGUCCUAAAACUAGCCUUAUGGAGUUUGACUUUCCAGCUCCCAGAAGCUAAAAUUUAUGGCUAGGAGAAGUCCUGAUGGAAGGAUUUGCCACUGAGCACAUGGGCAACUAGGCUGUGACUCCUGUUGAAGCCACUCAGUGUACUAGACAAAUUUAUGUUAUCCUGAAAUGCUGAGGAUUCCUACAGAGCAGCCUAAUACCUGUAGGUCCUUCUCUCUAUAAAUACUGUGUCAGGUGCCAUGAAGGAUGCCAAGAAGAUGCAGCUGGGGCAGGGGAGGGGUAAACAAGACAGGCACCUUGAAUGCAGAGAUUCCAAGAAUCCAAGGGUGAAAAUGACGAGCACCAAAUGAGUAGCAAGAGCUCUCGGAGAAAAAUCUCUAUACCCACGUGGUGGGCGUGCAAAAGACUAUUGGGAAGGAGUGAGUCAUUUCUGAGGAAGAAAGGUAGAGAUGGUUCAAGAGGCCUUCACAGAUGAAAGGGGUCUGGAGGUUAGGUGAGAUUUGGGGAAGGCAGAGAAACCAUUCCCAACAGGAGAUCAGCCUGAAGGUGAGAAACGUGGGCGAUAGGGAGUUGGAUGCAAGAAAAGGUUGAGACAGGUUAGCCCGAGAGGGUCAAAUUCCAUCCAGCCAAGGGGUUCCAGUGAGGGAGUUUUGUUGGGAGUGGAGGGGAGUGCAGAAAUGGAGCGAUUCCAUGUAAAUGUCACUGUGUGAGCAGAAUGGACUCAGUGGUGAGGGACUACAGAUCUGGAAAUCAGUUGUAGACCUAGGAUGCUACUGUAGUGUCCAAGUGUGAAUCGAAAUGCCUCAAUGACUCCUUGGCAUAGGAUUUGCUCGAUUCACUAACCUCUGCUUCAAUUCAAAAAGCAUGGGCUACUCUAUGCCUAGGUUGUAACAUUAGAAAAUUUUCAGUAAAGGCAUUGUCCUGUCAAUCCUACACCAAACUGCUCAUGCAUUGUUUGCGGUGAUGCUCUAUGUCUUUGCCCCGAUUCUCCACCAGUUAUAAUUCAUCUCCGAAAAAUUCUUUAACCAGGCCAAGGCCCAUAGCAGUACUAUAAAAAUAAUUUGUGACCUAAAGAGUUCUGACUUCUCUGAAAUAGAACUGACUUGGUUGUUGCUGUGAAUGUCUAUCUGUCUUUUUCCUUAAAUGGGUAAAAAGCAUAAAUCACAGAAGAGGAAUAAAGUUCAUAUUGCAAGAGCAACUAAAAGAAUCGUUCAAUGACUACUAGUGUUUACCAGCACAUAUAUUUAAAAGAUCCCCGUUUCCAUAAGAACGUGAGUGGCUUACACCCAAAUGUGACUAUCAAUUCAGCAGCGAUUACAACUUAAGCCAUAAUGAAAAUUAGUUUGCAAUUGUAGCAAACCCUGGCAAUUUAGGGCUCUGGAGCUCCUUCGGGUCGUGAGGUUAUCAUUACACUGCCCUCAUGCGCCUCAGUCUAGUUGAGGUAGUCAAUAGAGAUGAAUCCUGACUGAUGGGUAAAGGCCUCUGAAUGUAUUCACUGCUGAUGGGUGUGUGUCAUCAGCAGCAGUCUGAGGGUUGUGUCACAGAAGCCCAGGGCAUUCAGACAAGUCAUCUGAUAGCCUACAUGUUGUUAUAGCCGAUGAUAGGCUGUUAAACUCUGUUAUGGAGAACGUGAUUGCAGAUGUCAAAUUGACAAGCAAUUCUGUUGCUGAUAUAUGUAAGAAAGGGAGACCCAUUAAUGGUGUAAAUCGGUGACUUCCUCAGGUCUUUCAAUCCAUCAGCAGAGACAAUUCUUUCCUAAAUAUUUGUGCAAUCUUAGCACGUUUUGGUCAAGAGAUUUUUGUUAACACAAGGGUCAUUUUGUCCAUUCUUGAACAAAGAGCUUAUAGCAUUUGAGAGCCAGGGAGAUGGUGGUGAGUGAUGUCCAAACAGAAACAGCCAAUCACCUUCCCUGUUUUUAGCAUGUUUUGGUCAAGAGAUUUUUGUUAACACGAGGGUCAUUUUGUCCAUUCUUCAACAAAGAGCUUAUAGCAUUUGAGAGCCAGGGAGAUGGUGGUGAGUGAUGUCCAAACAGAAACAGCCAAUCACCUUCCCUGUUUUUUCUGUUCUGGACACAAGUAUUCUCUCUCUUCCUCUAAGUGAUGAUUUUUAUCUUCUUUAUAUUGUAAAUUCAUUCUAGGCUCAUUGUAUUCUGAAAGUUAAGGUUAAACUCUCUUAGAAUUAUUUGGGCAACUCUGAUUAGGAUAUUGGUUCUAGAAAUAUAGGAGAAUACUCUCAUUUCUCAAACAAAAUGUAUUUUUCCAAGAUGCAAACUAGUGUCUUCUUGCAUUUGGCUAUGUCCAAGACAGGGAACAGGAGAAGCAUCAAUAUAGAGAGAGGCUUUAGAAGUGAAUCUGAAUCAGAGAAUGUAAAGGCAUAAAGACAAGCAGAUGAAAGCAUUUAAUCAGGGGAAGACACUAGCCCAAGAGUAAAUGGGUUUAAUCUUGCAGGAAAUGCCAGUCCUCUGGCCAUGGCUUUCUGGAGCUCUGGAGGUUCCAGAGUUUGGGAAGAAACAGUUUCUUCAUUGUCAUGACUGAUUGAUUGACAACGUCUGGCAUGGGUAUGGGGAUAGGAAUGGCAAUGUGUUCCAAGAUGGUAUCACUACAGCCCAGGAUAUGAGACAAAUUACCUUAGACCAACCUGCAAGAAAUGGAUGACAUAUAUUCGUUUGAUGAGCAACUGUGAGAAAGGAUUUUUGAAGGUUUAUACUUUAAUGUUUUUAUUAGGGGUACCAAUAGGUACUGUGCCCCUGGGAGUAUCCACCUACUUGAUGUUUUUUUAUUGUCGGUUAGAAUUAGAGCCCUUGCUUGGUGCUCUAUUGUUUGGUUCAACUUUAGGAACACACUCACAGGCAAGAGUAAAGAACUGGAGGUGUCAGGAUCUUUAAAAUGGCACUUUCUGUCACACUAUUAGAGGAAUAAUUGAAAAUGGAUGUUAUUUAAACAGCAAUAACAAUAAAAACAAUCCUCUCCCCUAAAAGCUUCUUAAAAGCCAUUAAAGAUAAUUCUCCUUAAUAGAGUUUAAGAUGUACACCAAGGAAAAAAAAGUUCCCCACUGGCUGGGUUUAAGCCCAGGCUUUGCCACUAACUAGUAGGAGAUCACUGAUGAAUUACUUUGUCUCUUAGGAUCUCAGUCUACUCGUCUGUAAAAUAGGAAUAAUAAUGUCCACUUUGUAAGGUUACUGUGAGUACUAAGAUAAUCUAUGCAAAGCACUCAACACUGCUUUGCCAGCCAAAUAAGUGUUCAGUAAGUGGUCAUUCAUAGCUUUUGUUUUCAUGCUUGUGUGGUAACUCUUGGGCAUUUACACUAAGUUGCAAAAACUCUUUUGAAUUAUUCUGACUGUUGUAUUUUUUACGACGAAAAUUGUUUACCAUGAUGAAUAGAAGAUGAUAGCUUAUUAUGAAACAUAAUUUAAUAUUCCCUGUUUUAUAAUAGAAUGCUCACUGGAAGCUUUCGUGGGGGCACCAAGACCCAGUUGGUGCUGCAUUCCUGGGGAGGAACUUGACUACAUGCUGGAUUUAUGGGGGAGCUUACUGAAAACCAUCUAGACAGUUCCAGAACUCAGGUCUCAACAACCAGGAGAGACACAGAGAAGUUUUGAUAAUCUGUGUCUUCCUCACUUCCAGAGGUGGAGGAUAGGGAGCUUUCUCCUUACCUGAAGGAUAAUGAAAAUGGCUGAAUAAAUAUUGUGCUCUCAAAUUUGGGGGAAAUAUUAUUGAGGAAUGAAAAGGUGAGAGGCUAUGGAUUUUGAGCUGAAGAAGGAGGAAAAAGAAAACGGGAGGGUGAAAGAGAGGAAAAUCGAAGAAGAAGAGGAAGGAAGUGAAGAGGGAUGGAGAGAGAAAGAGAGUGAGAAAGAUCACUGUCUGCCAUUGGCACUAGCUACUCUCCUGUGAUAGCAGGAGCAAGAAUGUGUGAGUGUUUCUCUGGGCUCAGUAUCAUGGGUCUGAACCAUUUAAAAUCCUGUCCCAGAGGACUCCUUGGGGAAUGGGUACUGGGACAACAACCAGAGAGGCCUUUGAACAGUAGAUCUGGAGGAAACGAAGCUCUGAGCAGGAAGUGGGCAGCCAGAAGGAAACACAGUGCCCAUAACAACGUGCCACUGAAAGGUCCCAGCCGGGCCUCAAAAGAGCUCAUGAAAGUGCCCCCAAGAGUUGUCCUGAGCCAUUGGCUGGUCCAGAGAGCGGGAAGCCUUCUGCCAUUCUCAUCUGCUCCUCUCUCCUUUCCUCACCUCAGCCUGACUGGUGGAGGGCAUCACUCGCAUGCUGGAGCAGGAUGGGAACCAUUCCAACAGGGACAACAGGAGGGGCCAGCUACACUUUCCCACAGCAGCAAGCAGCAGGAAGGAGGCCCCCGUUGGGGCUGCUAAUGGUAUUUUAAGUUAGGGUGGCAGUUGGGACUGUUGUCAGGGAAUGGGCAACUUAUUUGCAAUUUAAAGUGACAGUACAAGAUUGUGUUACCUGAGAUGCCAGGAGAAGUCAAGAAGCAAGAAGCCGCUGAGCUUUUUGUUCAAGAGCAGAGGAAGGAACAGCACCCCUGAGAAGGCUGAAAGGGACUCUCAAAUAUUAACGUCAGUGACACUCAGGAAAGACGUUUUUGUGAGUCAUAAUGAACAUCGGGACUUUGUCAACUAAGAAUGCUUGAAAAACAAGAGGAGAAAAGAAAGCAAGAAGGAGACAAGGGAAAAGAGAGAAGAAAGAAUUUAAGAAGCCAGCAGAGGUAGAGCAUUUUAAAUUGUGAGCAGACUAUAUUUUCCCAUAAACUAUGAAUCUGGCUUAUUUCUGAGAGGUAGUGGCUGCUAUUAAUAAUAGUGAUUGUUGAAGUUUCAGCUGACUUGAACAUGUGUACUAUUCAAAUGCAUUAGUUGUGCAGUUGUUGAAGCAGAAGAAACCUAUUGUGUCUAUCUGUGUUUUCCAAUUACAAAUGACGAGGCAGGGAGAAGGGAUCCUGUUAGAUGCUAAUGAUGUAAGACAAGAUGAAUAAUGUCGAUUCCAAAGGUGCUUUACAGGAAUAAUUUGCGUAUAGAGUGUGGCCUGAACCCUAGUUACGCAGCCCAUUAGCAGCAAACCUCGCAGAAGAAAGUCUACAUCUCAGGGAACUGACAGGUCCCCCCAGGUAGGAGUCAACUCAAUGGAUACAAUGACCAUCCUUAUUGGACUUGAGUAUUUCUCAGACCCUUUGGCAAAAUGAAGUAAGCAGCCUUCGCCCCAUUCUGAACGGUUGACAGUUCCUACCACAAUAAUACGACAACUGAAACUGGCACACUGCACGCUUUGGAGCUUUCAGAAGCAUCGGUAGAAAAAGGAUUUGAUCCUGAAUAUAAUCGAAGGAGUAAACUAAAUUUACACAUGAUUAUAUCACAUUGACAUGAGAAUUAAAUGAGAAUUCAUUGUAACUGCCCUCGUGGUCUAUUCCUGGUGUGGCUGGUUGGCAGCAAUCGGUGUCUAGGAAAUGUAUCCUUUUUUUAAACACAUUAUAGGUGCCUGCCAUGAGCACCAGUUUUAAAAUUAUAUAUGAAUUAUAUAUCUGCAUAAUGAAAAGCAUACAAAAGCUCUGGAUUACUUAAGGCUAAUUGAUUUCUCUGUGGUACUUUUUUCCUUCUACUCUGAAUAUGUUUUACUCAACUAGAAAGUAGGACGAUGAAAACAGGAGAUGGAAGAGUCAAUGGUGCAAAAUGUUAUCUCCAGCUAUUGUCAAGGUUCAGUUGGGCUGAACUUAUUUCCUAAAACUUCACAUGUUGAAACCUCAAGUCCAAUGCAAUGGUAUCUGCAGUGACUACAAAUUAAACUAUGAGCUCCUUUCAUUUCCUUGGUAGCUGCCGACCCUAUCAAAUUGCUACAACAUCUUUCCCCCUUAAAAGAGAAGCACAACUGUGGUGAAGCCAUCGUUUUACGGAAAGACCAACUUUGUGAG